GCCAGGGUAGCUCAGUGGUAGAGCACCGGACUGAAAAUCCGGGUGUCCGCGGUUCGACUCCGCGCCCUGGCACCA
rnacentral:tRNA from 2 species